AACCAGACUCCUACGGGAGGCAGCAGUGGGGAAUAUUGGGCAAUGGGCGCAAGCCUGACCCAGCAACGCCGCGUGAAGGAAGAAGGCUUUCGGGUUGUAAACUUCUUUUCUCAGGGACGAAUAGAUGACGGUACCUGAGGAAUAAGCCACGGCUAACUACGUGCCAGCAGCCGCGGUAAUACGUAGGUGGCAAGCGUUAUCCGGAUUUACUGGGUGUAAAGGGCGUGUAGGCGGGGACGCAAGUCAGAUGUGAAACCCACGGGCUCAACCUGUGGCCUGCAUUUGAAACUGUGUUUCUUGAGUACUGGAGAGGCAGGCGGAAUUCCUAGUGUAGCGGUGAAAUGCGUAGAUAUUAGGAGGACCACCAGUGGCGAAGGCGGUCUGCUGGCCAGCAACUGACGCUGAGGCGCGAAAGCGUGGGGAGCAAACAGGAUUAGAUCCCCUGGUA
rnacentral:rRNA from 1 species